rnacentral:rRNA from 1 species
AAUCGAACGGAAGGACGACCCGCGAACAGUCAUUGAGUACCAGAGAGGGCCCGUGGGCGCACGACGCUCACGCGGCUCGCGUCGCGUCGGCGCGGACGUAAUCUAGGCCCGCGUCGUACCGGCGGAAAAACAACGUCAGCACGGAUGGUGCCAAGGAGCUGCACGGAGAGAAUCGUCGUCCCACGUCUUCGGUCGCCCUCGAUGCGGGACGGUAGGCGGGGGACGCGAGCGWUCUCUGCUAAAGUCUGAAUGACUCUCGGCAACGGAUAUCUCGGCUCUUGCAUCGAUGAAGAACGUAGCGAAAUGCGAUACUUGGUGUGAAUUGCAGAAUCCCGCGAACCAUCAAUUCUUUGAACGCAAGUUGCGCCCGAAGCCAUUCGGCCGAGGGCACGCCUGCCUGGGCGUCGUGAAUCCCAUUGCCCCUGGGCACCCUCGUCCAUGCAUGCGCAUCGGCGGGGAAACGCUCGGGCGCAGAACGUGGUCUCCCGUGGGAUCGGCACGCGCGGCGUGUCGAGGCGCGGUUGGCCGAAAAAAGAGCAUGGAGGUGACGGGCACCACGGCGUUCGGUGGAUCGAAUGAGAUUGGCUGCGUCGUGGUCUCGGCACGCGUCUCGCUCCGGGCUUUUGACGACC